CAGCAGUGAGGAAUAUUGGUCAAUGGCCUAACGGCUGAACUGGCAACUUGGAGAAGUGGCAAGUCUUCCAGUAUGGGGAGCAAAACAGCUAUGGGUCAAGUCCGAUAUCUUUAGGAGAAGUCUUAUUGUGAGGGCGAGUUAUAUAACACCAUAGGACUGGCCGUCCCAUAUGAAAAGAUUAUAUUAGAAUUGAAUGAAGCUUUGUUUAUAUAUUGAUAAUGACAGUAUAUAUAUCGUGUCUUGACUAAUUGCGUGCCAGCAGUCGCGGUAAUACGUAAGAGACUAGUGUUAUUCAUCUUAAUUAGGUUUAAAGGGUACCCAGACGGUCAAUAUAGCUUAUAAAAUGUUAGUACUUGACUAGAGUUUUAUGUAAGAGGGCAGUACUUGAGGAGGAGAGAUGAAAUUUCGUGAUACCAAAGGGACUCUGUAAAGGCGAAGGCAGCCCUCUAUGUAAAAACUGACGUUGAAGGACGAAGGCACAGAGAACAAACAGGAUUAGAUACCCAAGUAGUCUUUGCAGUAAAUGAUGAAUGCCAUAGGUUAGAUUAAUCAAAUAUAGUCUAGGGUUAGUCUAGCAAACUAAUGACCUAUACUAUAAUGAAAAAUAUCUGGUCUAUAAAUGAAAGUGUAAGCAUUUCACCUCAAGAGUAAUGUGGCAACGCAGGAACUGAAAUCACUAGACCGUUUCUGACACCAGUAGUGAAGUAUGUUAUUUAAUUCGAUGAUCC
rnacentral:rRNA from 1 species